rnacentral:lncRNA from 1 species
UUUUUUUUUCACAGUUUGAAAUAGCUGUGACAUGCCUGAGAAAGAAAAGUUUGUGUUAGCAAAAUUGCUUUCACAUUUUUAAUGACUAAACUUGAAAGCCGACUCCUUCUGGUUCAGACAAACAUUAAUCAGUAGAAACAGGUUUUAUUUCAUUCUUCCUACGAAACUGAAGAACACUGCACCAUAUGCACACCUUCUCUGUACAGCCCACAGACUGCUUGUGGCAGUGUGGACUCAGUGACUGGCCAUUAAGCACUGGGCUACCCCUGGAUGCAUAGUUGCAGAAAACGGCUGUAAGACUUUCAGCUGUUAUCAGCAAGGCAUAAAAUUCCUGCAGAUUCCAAGAAAUUAUGAACCCAACCCAAAAGUUACCUGUACUCAGGACAAGAUAUUUGGGACCUUUGACAUCACAAUUGGAACUUUAGUGCAUACAAAAACCACACAGAUUGAUGGAUAUGAUAGAUCUCUUGACUGA